rnacentral:rRNA from 1 species
UACGUAGGUGACAAGCGUUGUCCGGAUUUACUGGGCGUAAAGAGCGCGCAGGCGGUCGUUCAAGUCGAGUGUGAAAGCCCCCGGCUCAACUGGGGAGGGUCACUCGAUACUGAUCGACUCGAAGGCAGGAGAGGGAAGUGGAAUUCCCGGUGUAGUGGUGAAAUGCGUAGAUAUCGGGAGGAACACCAGUGGCGAAGGCGACUUCCUGGCCUGUUUUUGACGCUGAGGCGCGAAAGCUAGGGGAGCAAACGGG